AACGAACGCUGGCGGCAUGCCUAACACAUGCAAGUCGAACGAGACCUUCGGGUCUAGUGGCGCACGGGUGCGUAACGCGUGGGAAUCUGCCCUUGGGUUCGGAAUAACAGUUGGAAACGACUGCUAAUACCGGAUGAUGACGUAAGUCCAAAGAUUUAUCGCCCAAGGAUGAGCCCGCGUAGGAUUAGCUAGUUGGUGAGGUAAAGGCUCACCAAGGCGACGAUCCUUAGCUGGUCUGAGAGGAUGAUCAGCCACACUGGGACUGAGACACGGCCUAGACUCCUACGGGAGGCAGCAGUGGGGAAUAUUGGACAAUGGGCGAAAGCCUGAUCCAGCAAUGCCGCGUGAGUGAUGAAGGCCUUAGGGUUGUAAAGCUCUUUUACCCGGGAUGAUAAUGACAGUACCGGGAGAAUAAGCUCCGGCUAACUCCGU
rnacentral:rRNA from 1 species